rnacentral:rRNA from 1 species
CCUACGGGAGGCAGCAGUGAGGAAUAUUGGUCAAUGGACGAGAGUCUGAACCAGCCAAGUAGCGUGAAGGAUGACUGCCCUAUGGGUUGUAAACUUCUUUUAUAUGGGAGUAAAAUGUUCCACGUGUGGGAUUUUGUAUGUACCAUAUGAAUAAGGAUCGGCUAACUCCGUGCCAGCAGCCGCGGUAAUACGGUGGAUCUGAGCGUUAUCCGGAUUGAUUGGGUUUAAGGGGAGCGUAGGUGGAUUGUUAAGUCAGUUGUGAAAGUUUGCGGCUAAACCGUAAAAUUGCAGUUGAAACUGGCAGUCUUGAGUACAGUAGAGGUGGGCGGAAUUCGUGGUGUAGCGGUGAAAUGCUUAGAUAUCACGAAGAACUCCGAUUGCGAAGGCAGCUCACUGGACUGCAACUGACACUGAGGCUCGAAAGUGUGGGUAUCAAACAGGAUUAGAUACCCUUGUAGUC